UCUCUUAUUGCAGGGCACAGCUCUUACACAAAUGGAAACACAAACCAGAAAAUGCACACAUCAGAGAGGCUCUUCCUCCUGAAACAGUAGCUGUAGCCAGUGUAUAUGCAAUGGCAGUGGGAGAAGGAAACCGUUUUUAGAAAGCUGAUGAACAUGUGUAGGUAGGAAAAACUGGAGCAAUCACUCGAAAGCCAAAGUCCUUUAACUACACUGUAUUCAAGGCCAUCUGUGACUUGGACCUUGGUGGCCUCUGUGGAUGCAGUCCUUCUCCCCACUCCCCACCUCAAACUCCUUUUUUUAUCUUACUUACUCCAGUACUCUCUUCUCUCCAGACCUGUUCCUGAGGGAAUAUUCUCAUUUGACUCCUUAAGUCUGAGGUUGUCCUCCAAUCUGAGGCUUAGAAUGAGAGGAUUACAGAAAACAGCCAUCUGUGGCAAGAAACUUCCUGCCCGACAUAAGCAUUCCUCAAUGCUGAGUAAAAUGGCUUUAAACUAUGCCCAGGAUGUUUUCGUAAAGUCCUUGAGGCAGAGCCUCAAGUUUAAAGAGCUUUCUACAAUAUUCCUAAGGAUAUAA
rnacentral:lncRNA from 1 species